rnacentral:rRNA from 1 species
CCUACGGGAGGCAGCAGUGGGGAAUUUUGGGCAAUGGCCGCAAGGCUGACCCAGCGACGCCGCGUGCGGGAGGACGCCUUUCGGGGUGUAAACCGCUGUCAGAGGGGACGAAUCCCCGGAACGGGAAUACCGUUUCGGGUUGACGGUACCCUCAAAGGAAGCGCCGGCUAACUCCGUGCCAGCAGCCGCGGUAAGACGGAGGGCGCGAGCGUUGUUCGGAAUCACUGGGCGUAAAGCGCGCGCAGGCGGGACUGUCAAGUCGGAAGUGAAAUCCCGGGGCUCAACUCCGGGGCUGCUUCCGAAACUGCGGACCUGGAGACCGGUAGAGGUGGGUGGAAUUCCCGGUGUAGCGGUGGAAUGCGUAGAGAUCGGGAAGAACACCUGUGGCGAAGGCGGCCCACUGGGCCGGAUCUGACGCUGAGGCGCGAAAGCGUGGGGAG